AUUUAUUGUAAAACCGUUUUU
rnacentral:sRNA from 1 species